GGAUGGCUAGAAGUCAGCUACCAACAACAGGAGCCUUUUACGUGUUGAAAAACGGGAUAAAAAUGAUCAUCGAAGUCAUUCAAUGUUGGAUCUAUCGUCACGGACGUGUUGUACAACGUCCCAGAAAAGACACUGAAGUUCCAGGCCGCACUACAAAUCUUCUGAAAGGGCCACGAUCACAAGGAAGCCCUGCCUGGAACGGCACAAGUGUUAGCUUCCCAUCAAAACAAGCCUACCCAGGUGAGUUAUCGCAGCAGCCGUGCAUCCUGCCAAGCGUGGGGUUUCACAGCUCAGGGGCCACUAUCUGGACUCGAGCUUAGCACCUAUCUUCACAUGUGGGCCGGAGGGCGGACAUGUCCACAGCUCACAAGAUCAGACACGGCACCGAGCCGUGCCAUGAUACCCCUCGUCUAAGAUGAUGUUGCAAACCUCGGGAAGAUUACAGAUGAGCAGAUUGGAGAUGUCAAACAUGCGAUGAAGCAGCGAUUUUGCUCGUAGGUGGUCAGUGAUCAUUCCGCCUUAACAGGAAAUCGCAGUCACAUGAUGAGGAACACCGUGAGAUAUGGCCGAAAGCUUAAAAAGAACAAAGCAGAGUGGCUGCAGACAGGAAGAACUGGCCCAUCUGCUGAUGUAGUUAUGCUGCUGGUGCUGACUACAGAGGACCAUCACCGUCUGAGAUUAGCGACACGCACAGUGCCAAUCCUGCAUGUUGGCAACCGGAUAACAGCCUGCGAAAGUUCAGAAAUGUUUACAGCAACACGCUCCCAGAGUUCGUGUUCCCACUGCUCAGCCGCGAGCUGUUAGUAUCUCGUUGUGCUUCUUCAAAUUUGAUGGAGCGAUGGUUUCACUUUGGGCAAAUGUGGGAAUCAUAUUUCCAAGGAUUGUCACAAUAGGAUUUUCUUCCCUGGAGGCCAAGUUAAGCAGAGCCAUUCCAGGGAUUCUUGGACUCUGCUGCUUGGACCACCGUCCAUGAGAGCACAUAGGAGGCAACCUUCAAUCUUUUAAAGAUGGGGUCUGAACAUCUGAGCGUUCGGAGCUGCACAAAAUGUUUUUGACGUGUCAAGCGGCCACACUUGACACGUUAGAGAGCGGCAUGUUUUUUUAAGUGCUGUGGGUUCGUAAAGUACAUCUGCUUUCUUUGUUGUUGUUUGUUUUUUUUCUUUUUUUCUUACAGAGAAAUGUUCUCUCUCAUCUUUUUCUUCCGCUGUAAAUCAGAGACCGCAAUGGCACGAUGAAUAAAAAAGUCAGGGACAGCACAGCUCUGUUGCGCAUCUAGCGAGAGCAACGUCUGUGUUUACGCUUUCAUACAUUUGUUUGUCCCGACAUUUGUCUGUUGGCCUCCGCUAUCCGUCAUUUGACUUGUUUUUAUUUUCAAAACACUUGGCAUGCUUGUAAGUACACACACAGGACGGAUGGAGGGGAAUAGCAUGUCCUUGUUAGUAUAAAUGAUUAAAUUCAUCCUCCUUGUAAACUAAAUGUUUGAGGGAAAUUGCGGUGGAUAUCAUCAAUUUACUCUUUUGCUUUUCUUCCUCUUUGACUUUGAAGAGCG